UGGAGAACGGUUCCAUGUGAACAGCAGUUGGACAUGCGUUAGUCGAUCCUAAGAGAUAGGGAAAUUCCGUUUGCAAGCGCCCGAUCUUGGGCCGCCUAUCGAAAGGGAAUCGGGUUAAUAUUCCCGAACCGGGACGCGGAUAUUGCCGUUCGCGGCAGAUGCGGUAACGCAAACGAACCCGAAGACGCUGGCGGGGGCCCUGGGAAGAGUUCUCUUUUCUUUUUAACGAGCUUUCACCCUGAAAUCAGCUUGCCUGGAGACAGGGUUUAAUGCUCGGUAAAGCACCACACUUCUUGUGGUGUCCGGUGCGCUCUCGACGGCCCUUGAAAAUUCGGGGAAGACAUUGAUUUUCGUGUCCGGUCGUACUCAUAACCGCAGCAGGUCUCCAAGGUGAGCAGCCUCU
rnacentral:rRNA from 1 species